AAGUCGCACGAGAAAGGGCUUCGGCCCCGGUAAAGUGGCGCACGGGUGAGUAACACGUGGGUAACCUGCCCUCGAGCGGGGGACAACAUUCCGAAAGGAGUGCUAAUACCGCAUAAGACCACGGCCUCGAAAGAGGCUGGGGUAAAAGCUGGCCUCUAUACAUAAGCUAGCACUUGAGGAAGGGCCCGCGGCGCAUCAGCUAGUUGGUGGGGUAACGGCUCACCAAGGCUAAGACGCGUAGCUGGUCUGAGAGGAUGAUCAGCCACACUGGAACUGAGACACGGUCCAGACUCCUACGGGAGGCAGCAGUGGGGAAUCUUGCGCAAUGGACGAAAGUCUGACGCAGCGACGCCGCGUGAGUGACGAAGGCCUUCGGGUUGUAAAGCUCUGUGGGGAGAGACGAAUAAGUGCAACCUAAUACGUUGCAUGAUGACGGUAUCUUCUUAGCAAGCACCGGCUAACUCUGUGCCAGCAGCCGCGGUAAGACAGAGGGUGCAAACGUUGUUCGGAAUUACUGGGCGUAAAGCGUGUGUAGGCUGCCCUGUAAGUCGGAUGUGAAAGCCCUGGGCUCAACCCAGGAAGUGCAUUCGAAACUGCAGGGCUGGAGUAUCGGAGAGGUUGGUGGAAUUCUCGGUGUAGAGGCGAAAUUCGUAGAUAUCGAGAGGAACACCGGUGGCGAAGGCGGCCAACUGGACGAAUA
rnacentral:rRNA from 1 species